AUGGCCGACGGCCUCGUCCUCGUCGACGAAGGCUUCGAGGGCUGUCGGAUUUCCACUGGCGCGGCUGACGGCGGCUGGGACAGAGGUGCUCCGUGCUCCAGGACCAGGGUGGGGUGGUGCAGUGGCCGCAUGAACAUGCUCAGGGGCUUCAUCGGCGGGGUGCUCAGGAGACGGGCGAUGUGGAUGCUGCCCACCCAUAUGGUACACAACAUGGGGGAGUCCAUCUCCGACCGUCCCAAGCAGAACCAUGAUAGACCUACAACGGCAGGUUGUUCAAAUGAUAAGAGACAUUCCCAUUGUGGUUACAACUGA
rnacentral:rRNA from 1 species